AAAGCACGGCCUGCAGUGCCAAGAGGGACCGUAGUAAAAGCACGGCAGAAGGCACGGGAAAAACAUGGUUCAGAAAAAGAAAACUGGAAUUGCCACAGAAGAAGGUUUUAGUUUCUUUUGCCUUUUCUGUCUGCUUUAACUUUUCAGAGUCAUAUUGGGAUGAUUUAAAAAAAUCAUUUCGGUUUACUGCUCUGUCGAAGUAACCCAUGUAAAAGAUUGAGUGAGCUGCACAAGAGAUCAGUGUGAAUGAUAACGUUCCCAGUGGUGUGACUACAUCUAGAACCAGGCAGACUGCAGGACUGCAAGAGGACAUCGACUUGCAGAAGCCUGUCAGUGUAUUUAAAUUCUGAGCUAUUCUAUUAUUGUAGCACAAUGGGCUUUUUCUGGUCAUAAUGAAAAAAACAGUCAAUUAUUCAUGGGAGAAAUAAAGACUAUUCUGCCUGUUGUUUUCAAAGAGUAAUGUAGUCACUAUAUAUUCCUUUAAACACUGCUCUUAGAUAAACUAUGUUUUUUUCAUAUACUCAGGGUCAUGACCUCUGACUUACUAUUAGAACAUGAAUCAUAAGAGCAAGCUCAUACAUGCAAACUGCAGUAAACAC